UAGGAAAGUCAUAAAUAUAUAAAUUAUAUUAUAUAAUUAAUAUAAUAAUAAAAUAAAUUAUAUAUUUUAUUUAUAAUAUUAUUUCUUUAUAAGAUAAAUAUUAUCUAAUUAAUAAUUAGAUUGAAUAAUAUUUAUAAAGAAAUAUAUAUAUAUAUAUAAAGUCAUUAUAUAAAUUUAAUUAUAAUUUAAAUAAAUUUUAUAUAAAUUAAUAUAAUAUUAAUAAAGUAAUUAGUAUAAAUAAAUAAUAUGAAAAUAAAACUUAAUAAAUAUAUAAAUAUAGUCCAUAUAUAUAUAUUAAUAAUAGUCCGGCCCGCCCCGCGGGGCGGACCCCGAAGGAGUGAGGGUCCCCCUCCCUAAUGGGAGGGGGACCGAACCCCUUUUUAAGAAGGAGUAAUAUAUAUAUAUAUAUUGGAAUAGUUAUAUUAUUAUACAGAAAUAUGCUUAA
rnacentral:misc_RNA from 1 species